UAUAGAUGCCCGAGGGUUUGCUCGGUCUUUUCGAGAGAGUUGUGGCUUUGCGUUUUGGGCAGCUGGGAUCGCUCAGGAUUCCAAAUAAAUUGACUUAAGGAGAGAAGAGGAGCUUCACCUAACAUUGGCUGUUAAUACUUAACCUUUUGGGUCCUUUCUUUGGCAGGGAGGGUUGGUAAAAUGAAUGAUAAAUGUUGUUUUCUAAGAUAAGCCUGGAAGUUUGGAAGCUUGAGCAUAUUUGACCCGUUUUUUUCAAACUGCCGUUAAUACUAAAUUUGGGGAACAAGUUUAAUGUUCUAUAGGACAGGUGCCCAGUAAAAUUUGACUAAUGCGGACAGGACUGAAUGUGGCCAUAUCUAUUAAAACAGUCUGGUCCUUUGAAAAAAAAAUAAAUAAAACCGUCUGGUCCCAAAGAUUCCAGAAUGCCUAUGAAGAGAGAACUGGUCCUAAGGAAAUUAAGAUACUAGUUUGGCCUUUUCUACUAUUCUCAAGUAAACUGGGUUUUAUAACUACAUAACUGAAUGGAGAACAGAAGCCUAUGAGAUCCAAAGUAUGUCUUAAAGAUGCAGGUCUGUUUAUAAUGUAUUUAUGAAUUAUAAUAAAGAUGACUAGAUACUUG